CUUACGCUACUAAUACCCAUCCAUGAUGAAUAUAUGACUGCCACAAGAUUUCAGUCCUUACAGCCUUAAUAUAAAUUAAGUUUUGUGUUGCUUUCAAGAGAACUUUUUACUGGUCUGCGGUUUUGUGAGCUUCUGUAUGUUGAAUAUUCGAAAUGGUCAUGGUUGAAAUCUGGCAAUGAGAGACAGAUAUGGAAAUUGCAGUCUAUGCUUGGUACUUGAAAACACAAUAACACGACGAUGCCAAAUUUGUCCAUUUUCAAGAUAAUCGCUACCAGUUACUUCUGAAGUCUUCUUUGAAGAGUGCGAUGUCACUUUACCUGGAAAGAAACAAUUCAGCUAUUAAUAAGGACGGUUGAAAUUAAUGCAUGCUAAAUUUCACAGCUCUAGAAUCACUCCUUCAUAGUCAACCUAAGAACUUUUCAGCCCACCCUCGUAUAUGUUUGCAUGUAUAUAAUAUACAUAUGUAUGCAUAUGUAUGUAUGUAUGUAUGUAUGUAUGUAUGCAUGUAUGCAUGUAUGUAUGCCUGCAUGCAUGUAUAUGUAUACGAGGGGGUACCCAAAAGAAACCGGAAUUUUGUAAUUUUAUAUUAUUCACAAGUUUCUCUUGUUUACACUUUUAUCGCUUUCAAAGUAUUCUCCAUUUGAAGCAACGCAUC